rnacentral:rRNA from 1 species
UACGUAGGUGGCGAGCGUUGUCCGGAUUAUUGGGUUUAAAGGGUGCGUAGGCGGCUUUGUAAGUCAGUGGUGAAAUACUCCAGCUUAACUGGAGGGGUGCCAUUGAUACUGCGGAGCUUGAGUACAGAUGAGGUAGGCGGAAUUGACGGUGUAGCGGUGAAAUGCAUAGAUAUCGUCAAGAACACCGAUAGCGAAGGCAGCUUACUGGGCUGUAACUGACGCUGAUGCACGAAAGUGUGGGGAUCAAACAGG